CUUCAUAAAACUUUUAAUUGAAGAGUUUGAUCAUGGCUCAGAUUGAACGCUGGCGGCAGGCCUAACACAUGCAAGUCGAGCGGCAGCACAGAGGAA
rnacentral:rRNA from 1 species